rnacentral:rRNA from 1 species
GACGAACGCUGGCGGCGUGCUUAACACAUGCAAGUCACGGGGGCCCGCAAGGGUAACCGGCGAACGGGUGCGUAACACGUGAGCAAUCUGCCGUCCACUGGGGGAUAGCCGGCCCAACGGCCGGGUAAUACCGCAUACGCUUGCCGGGUGGCAUCACUUGGCAAGGAAACCUCCGGGGGUGGACGAGGCGCUCGCGGCCUAUCAGCUAGUUGGUGGGGUCACGGCCCACCAAGGCGAUGACGGGUAGCUGGUCUGAGAGGAUGGCCAGCCACAUUGGGACUGAGAUACGGCCCAGACUCCUACGGGAGGCAGCAGUGGGGAAUAAUGCGCAAUGGCCGCAAGGCUGACGCAGCGACGCCGCGUGGGGGAUGAAGCAUUUCGGGGUGUAAACCCCUGUUGCCCGGGACGAACCUCCCCUUUCGAGGGGACUGACGGUACCGGGUGAGGAAGCACCGGCUAACUCCGUG